rnacentral:piRNA from 1 species
UCUCAAUCCAAGAGAGAAAUGGGAAU